rnacentral:rRNA from 1 species
UGAAUACGAGAUGCUACGGCGUCGAAGCAGUCUAUGUCAUACUUCCAAGAAAAGCUUGCACUGUCAUAAACAAAUAAUGCCUGUACCAUAACCGACACAGGUGGGUAGGUAGAGUAUACUAAGGGGCGCGAGAUAACUCUCUCUAAGGAACUGCAAAAUGACUCCGUAACUUCGGGAGAAGGAGUGCCUUAUUUAUAAGGUUGCAAUAACAAGAUCCAAGCAACUGUUUAUCAAAAACACAGGUCUCCGCUAAGUCGUAAGACGAUGUAUGGGGGCUGACGCCUGCCCAGUGCCAGAAGGUUAAAGAAGUUGGUUAGCAUUAGCGAAGCUGAUAACUGAAGCCCUGGUGAACGGCGGCCGUAACAAUAACGGUCCUAAGGUAGCGAAAUUCCUUGUCGGGUAAGUUCCGACCCGCACGAAAGGCGUAAUGAUUUGGAUACUGUCUCAGAGAGGGGCUCGGUGAAAUAGACUUGUCUGUGAAGAUGCGGACUACCUGCACCAGGACAGAAAGACCCUAUGAAGCUUUACUGUAACUUGAAUUGAAAUUGGACUUUAUUUGCUCAGUAUAGGUGGGAGGCAUUGAGAACAUUCUUGCGGGAUUGUUGGAGCCAUCAGUGAGAUACCACUCUUGUAAUGUUAGAUUUCUAACUUUGUAUCAUUAUCUGGUCAAAGGACAGUUUCAGGCGGGCAGUUUGACUGGGGCGGUCGCCUCCUAAACGGUAACGGAGGCGCACAAAGGUUUCCUCUGAACGGGUAGAAAUCGUAUCUAGAGUGUAAAGGCAUAAGGAAGCUUGACUGUGAGACCUACAAGUCGAGCAGGGACGAAAGUCGGUCUUAGUGAUCUGACGGUGCUGAGUGGAAAGGCCGUCACUCAACGGAUAAAAGUUACUCUAGGAUAACAGGCUGAUCUCCCCCAAGAGUUCACAUCGACGGGGAGGUUUGGCACCUCGAUGUCGGCUCAUCGCAUCCUGGGGCGGUAGUACGUCCCAAGGGUUGGGCUGUUCGCCCAUGAAAGCGGUACGCGAGCUGGGUUCAGAACGUCGUGAGACAGUUCGGUCCAUAUCCGGUGUAGGCGUUAGAAUAUUGAGAGGAGCCUUCUUUAGUACGAGAGGACCGAGAAGGACAUACCUCUGGUGUACCAGUUAUCGUGCCAACGGUAAACGCUGGGUAGCUAUGUAUGGAGAGGAUAACCGCUGAAAGCAUCUAAGUGGGAAGCCCACCUCAAGAUAAG